AUCGCUUCUCGGCCUUAUGGCUAAGAUCAAAAGUGUAGUAUCUGUUCUUAUCAGCUUAACAUCUGAUAGUUCCUCCAUUGGAGGACAACAAAUGUUAAACUGAUUUUUGGAAUCAGUCGGAGUGCUAGGGGCUUGCUCCACCUCUGUCGCGGGUUGGCCCGGUAUUGCAUUACCGCCGGGAUCUCAGCCCAACUGAA